rnacentral:tmRNA from 1 species
GGGGAUGUUUUGGUUUUGACAGCAUCUGACAUCGGAAGGUAAGCACGUCCGGCGUUGAAGGUUUGCCGGCAAAUCUCAAUCUUCAAAACUAUAGUUGGCAACAACUCUUAUGCACUCGCUGCGUAGUCUUGGCCUAAGGCAGACUCCUUAAUCAUCCGGACCAGGUCCGUGAUGACGAGUAUCCCUCCUGGCUUUUAGCCGGUUAUGCCAGGAAUACGGGGUAUCAUCCAAACCGGAUGCGGGGACGGACUCCUUUAAAAUCCCUCAAGUCCUAAAGGAUAAGGUCCGGUUCGCCUGUCCUCCGGCAGGCCGGGCCCGACAACCAAAGAAGGAAUAAGCGUGUAGAAAGCCUUUGGGUGCGGUGUUUGGACGGCGGUUCGAGUCCGCCCAUCUCCAC